AAACUGCGAAUGGCUCAUUAAAUCAGUUAUCGUUUAUUUGAUAGUACCUUACUACAUGGAUACCUGUGGUAAUUCUAGAGCUAAUACAUGCUAAAAACCCCGACUUCAGGAAGGGGUGUAUUUAUUAGAUAAAAAACCAACGCCCUUCGGGGCUCCUUGGUGAAUCAUAAUAACUUAACGAAUCGCAUGGCCUUGCGCCGGCGAUGGUUCAUUCAAAUUUCUGCCCUAUCAACUUUCGAUGGUAGGAUAGUGGCCUACCAUGGUGGCAACGGGUAACGGGGAAUUAGGGUUCGAUUCCGGAGAGGGAGCCUGAGAAACGGCUACCACAUCCAAGGAAGGCAGCAGGCGCGCAAAUUACCCAAUCCCGAUACGGGGAGGUAGUGACAAUAAAUACUGAUACGGGGCUCUUUUGGGUCUCGUAAUUGGAAUGAGAACAAUUUAAAUCCCUUAACGAGGAACAAUUGGAGGGCAAGUCUGGUGCCAGCAGCCGCGGUAAUUCCAGCUCCAAUAGCGUAUAUUAAAGUUGUUGCAGUUAAAAAGCUCGUAGUUGAACCUUGGGUCUGGCUGGCCGGUCCGCCUCACCGCGAGUACUGGUCCGGCUGGACCUUUCCUUCUGGGGAACCUCAUGGCCUUCACUGGCUGUGGGGGGAACCAGGACUUUUACUGUGAAAAAAUUAGAGUGUUCAAAGCAGGCCUUUGCUCGAAUACAUUAGCAUGGAAUAAUAGAAUAGGACGUGUGGUUCUAUUUUGUUGGUUUCUAGGACCGCCGUAAUGAUUAAUAGGGAUAGUCGGGGGCGUCAGUAUUCAGCUGUCAGAGGUGAAAUUCUUGGAUUUGCUGAAGACUAACUACUGCGAAAGCAUUCGCCAAGGAUGUUUUCAUUAAUCAGGGAACGAAAGUUAGGGGAUCGAAGACGAUCAGAUACCGUCGUAGUCUUAACCAUAAACUAUGCCGACUAGGGAUCGGACGGGAUUCUAUAAUGACCCGUUCGGCACCUUACGAGAAAUCAAAGUU
rnacentral:rRNA from 1 species